CUACCAUGGCAGUCACGGGUAACGGAGAAUUAGGGUUCGAUUCCGGAGAGGGAGCCUGAGAAACGGCUACCACAUCUACGGAAGGCAGCAGGCGCGCAAAUUGCCCAAUCCCGACACGGGGAGGCAGUGACAAGAAAUAACAACUCUAGGUUUUCUUAGAAGUGUAAUGAGGAUAAUUUACAAACCUUACCAAAUGCAAUUGGAGGGCAAGUCUGGUGCCAGCAGCCGCGGUAAUUCCAGCUCCAAUAGCGUAUAUUAAAGUUGUUGCAGUUAAAAAGCUCGUAGUUGAAAAUCUGAUUGCUCAGGUCUCCAGCCUUUAGGCGGGGAUUCUGACAGUCAUCCGCUUGCAAACAUAUGUUCGAUCUUCACCGGUUGGCUAUGUGAGUAAGCACUUUAUCUUGAGAAAAACAGAGUGUUCCAGGCAGGUUUGUCCGGAAUGCAUUAGCAUGGAAUAAUAGAACAUGACUGAAGUCUAUUUAUUGGUUAAAGGCUUUAGUAAUGAUUAAUAGGAACAGUCGGGGGCAUUCGUACUCAGCAGUCAGAGGUGAAAUUCUAAGAUUUGCUGAAGACGAACUAAUGCGAAAGCAUUUGCCAAGGAUGUUUCCAUUAAUCAAGAACGAAAGUUAGGGGAUC
rnacentral:rRNA from 1 species